UACGUAGGAGGCAAGCGUUGUCCGGAAUUACUGGGCGUAAAGCGCGUGUAGGUGGUGGGACAAGUCUGCUGUGAAAGCGCCUGGCUUAACCGGGCGAGGUCGGCGGAAACUGUCCGACUCGAGGACGGUAGAGGGGGGUGGAAGUUCCCGGUGUAGUGGUGAAAUGCGUAGAGAUCGGGAGGAACACCUGUGGCGAAGGCGGCCCCCUGGGCCGGCCCUGACACUGAGACGCGAAGGCGUGGGGAGCGAACGGG
rnacentral:rRNA from 1 species